rnacentral:rRNA from 1 species
AUUGAGCGCUGGCGGAAUGCUUUACACAUGCAAGUCGAACGGCAACACGGACUUCGGUCUGGUGGCGAGUGGCGAACGGGUGAGUAAUGUAUCGGAACGUACCCAGUCGUGGGGGAUAACGUAGUGAAAAUUACGCUAAUACCGCAUACGAUCUAUGGAUGAACGCGGGGGAACGCAAGACCUCGCGCGAUUGGAGCGGCCGAUAUCAGAUUAGGUAGUUGGUGGGGUAAAGGCCCACCAAGCCAACGAUCUGUAGCUGGUCUGAGAGGACGACCAGCCACACUGGAACUGCGACACGGUCCAGACUCCUACGGGAGGCAGCAGUGGGGAAUUUUGGACAAUGGGCGAAAGCCUGAUCCAGCCAGUCCGCGUGCAGGAUGAAGGACCUCGGGUUGUAAACUGCUUUUGUACAGAACGAAAAGGUUUCUACUAAUACUAGGAGCUCAUGACAGUACUGUAAGAAUAAGCACCGGCUAGCUACGUGCCAGCCGCCGCCGUAA